UAGGGAAUCUUCGGCAAUGGACGGAAGUCUGACCGAGCAACGACGCGUGAGUGAAGAAGGUUUUCGGAUCGUAAAGCUCUGUUGUUAGAGAAGAACGUUGGUAGGAGUGGAAAAUCUACCAAGUGACGGUAACUAACCAGAAAGGGACGGCUAACUACGUGCCAGCAGCCGCGGUAAUACGUAGGUCCCGAGCGUUGUCCGGAUUUAUUGGGCGUAAAGCGAGCGCAGGCGGUUCUUUAAGUCUGAAGUUAAAGGCAGUGGCUUAACCAUUGUACGCUUUGGAAACUGGAGGACGUGAGUGCAGAAGGGGAGAGUGGAAUUCCAUGUGUAGCGGUGAAAGGCGUAGAUAUAUGGAUGAACACCGGUGGCGAAAGCGGCUCUCUGGUCGGUAACUUACGCUGAGGCUCGAAAGCGUGGGGAGCAAACAGG
rnacentral:rRNA from 1 species